CGUCAUGGACCCGGCCUGGGAGGACCCCGACGGCGUCCCCAUCGACGCCAUCAUCUUCGGCGGGCGGCGCCCGCGCGGGGUGCCCCUGAUCUACGAGGCCUUCAACUGGCGCCACGGCGUCUUCGUGGGCAGCGCCAUGCGCAGCGAGGCCACC